rnacentral:rRNA from 1 species
AGCUUGCUUCCUGGUGGCGAGCGGCGGACGGGUGAGUAAUGCAUAGGAAUCUGCCCGGUAGUGGGGGAUAACCUGGGGAAACCCAGGCUAAUACCGCAUACGUCCUACGGGAGAAAGCAGGGGCUCUUCGGACCUUGCGCUAUCGGAUGAGCCUAUGUCGGAUUAGCUGGUUGGUGAGGUAAUGGCUCACCAAGGCGACGAUCCGUAGCUGGUCUGAGAGGAUGAUCAGCCACAUCGGGACUGAGACACGGCCCGAACUCCUACGGGAGGCAGCAGUGGGGAAUAUUGGACAAUGGGCGCAAGCCUGAUCCAGCCAUGCCGCGUGUGUGAAGAAGGCCCUCGGGUUGUAAAGCACUUUCAGUGGGGAAGAAAGCCUGGUGGUUAAUACCCGUCAGGAAGGACAUCACCCACAGAAGAAGCACCGGCUAACUCCGUGCCAGCAGCCGCGGUAAUACGGAGGGUGCGAGCGUUAAUCGGAAUUACUGGGCGUAAAGCGCGCGUAGGUGGCUUGAUAAGCCGGUUGUGAAAGCCCCGGGCUCAACCUGGGAACGGCAUCCGGAACUGUCAGGCUAGAGUGCAGGAGAGGAAGGUAGAAUUCCCGGUGUAGCGGUGAAAUGCGUAGAGAUCGGGAGGAAUACCAGUGGCGAAGGCGGCCUUCUGGACUGACACUGACACUGAGGUGCGAAAGCGUGGGUAGCAAACAGGAUUAGAUACCCUGGUAGUCCACGCCGUAAACGAUGUCGACUAGCCGUUGGGUCCUUCGCGGACUUUGUGGCGCAGUUAACGCGAUAAGUCGACCGCCUGGGGAGUACGGCCGCAAGGUUAAAACUCAAAUGAAUUGACGGGGGCCCGCACAAGCGGUGGAGCAUGUGGUUUAAUUCGAUGCAACGCGAAGAACCUUACCUACCCUUGACAUCCUGCGAACCCUUCGGAGACGAAGGGGUGCCUUCGGGAACGCAGAGACAGGUGCUGCAUGGCUGUCGUCAGCUCGUGUUGUGAAAUGUUGGGUUAAGUCCCGUAACGAGCGCAACCCUUGUCCUUAUUUGCCAGCGAGUAAAGUCGGGAACUCUAAGGAGACUGCCGGUGACAAACCGGAGGAAGGUGGGGACGACGUCAAGUCAUCAUGGCCCUUACGGGUAGGGCUACACACGUGCUACAAUGGUCAGUACAAAGGGUUGCGAACUUGCGAGAGUGAGCCAAUCCCAGAAAGCUGAUCUCAGUCCGGAUCGGAGUCUGCAACUCGACUCCGUGAAGUCGGAAUCGCUAGUAAUCGUGAAUCAGAAUGUCACGGUGAAUACGUUCCCGGGCCUUGUACACACCGCCCGUCACACCAUGGGAGUGGACUGCACCAGAAGUGGUUAGCCUAAC